GGGACACGUGGUAUCCUGUCUGAAUAUGGGGGGACCAUCCUCCAAGGCUAAAUACUCCUGACUGACCGAUAGUGAACCAGUACCGUGAGGGAAAGGCGAAAAGAACCCCGGCGAGGGGAGUGAAAAAGAACCUGAAACCGUGUACGUACAAGCAGUGGGAGCACCUUCGGGUGUGACUGCGUACCUUUUGUAUAAUGGGUCAGCGACUUAUAUUCUGUAGCAAGGUUAACCGUAUAGGGGAGCCGCAGGGAAACCGAGUCUUAACUGGGCGUUAAGUUGCAGGGUAUAGACCCGAAACCCGGUGAUCUAGCCAUGGGCAGGUUGAAGGUUGGGUAACACUAACUGGAGGACCGAACCGACUAAUGUUGAAAAAUUAGCGGAUGACUUGUGGCUGGGGGUGAAAGGCCAAUCAAACCGGGAGAUAGCUGGUUCUCCCCGAAAGCUAUUUAGGUAGCGCCUCGUGAAUUCAUCUUCGGGGGUAGAGCACUGUUUCGGCUAGGGGGUCAUCCCGACUUACCAACCCGAUGCAAACUACGAAUACCGAAGAAUGUUAUCACGGGAGACACACGGCGGGUGCUAACGUCCGUCGUGAAGAGGGAAACAACCCAGACCGCCAGCUAAGGUCCCAAAGUCAUGGUUAAGUGGGAAACGAUGUGGGAAGGCACAGACAGCCAGGAUGUUGGCUUAGAAGCAGCCAUCAUUUAAAGAAAGCGUAAUAGCUCACUGGUCGAGUCGGCCUGCGCGGAAGAUGUAACGGGGCUAAACCAUGCACCGAAGCUGCGGCAGCGACACUAUGUGUUGUUGGGUAGGGGAGCGUUCUGUAAGCCUGCGAAGGUGUGCUGUGAGGCAUGCUGGAGGUAUCAGAAGUGCGAAUGCUGACAUAAGUAACGAUAAAGCGGGUGAAAAGCCCGCUCGCCGGAAGACCAAGGGUUCCUGUCCA
rnacentral:rRNA from 1 species